CAAAAUCAAAAUUUAGAAUAUGACCUUGACCUUUGACCUUGACCUCAUUUUUAUUAUUUUCGACCAAGGACCCCAAAUCUAAAGACCCUAUGUCUUUAUCACUUAUGGUUUACCAUUUAGAAAUGCAUAUCACUUAAUUUAAGGGAAAAGGGGGAAUAACUCUCAUAUGGAGUCUCCGUAAAGCUUCGGUCCAAAUGAAUAUCCUAAUCCUGAAGAUGUAACAAGCAAUUUGGUAAAAUAAAUUUGUCGUAAUCUCUAACGGUUGCGAAGGAGUAGUGGCCACAAG
rnacentral:lncRNA from 1 species